CACACUAAAGCAGAGAGCAGCAUACUGAGAGGCGAUUCGCCUGGUAUUUUCCGCAGUCAAGCCAACUGAAACAUAUGAUGUUGGGCUCAGCAAUAAUAACAACUACCUUUUGUUAAAUCGGCAACAUACACACGCACUUGUUAUAAACGAGAAUCGACAAACAGAUACACACAAACAUACACACAUAGGCAGACGUUAUAAGUGGAACGUUGAUUCCGCAUUUACUAUAAUAUAAUAUGCACAUACAUAUGUAUAUAGCUGGCAAUAUUGCGGUGCUUUUUGACCAAGCGAAAAAUCAUAGGCCAAACAGUUGAUAUCGGAACUUGACAGCAUUUGGUUGUGUGAAGCGCGUGCUUGAAACGUUUGUUGUACGAACGACAACAACUUAACGUUUUUCCAUACCUACGUGCAAUCGUUUGUACGAGUACGUGCAUACUUAUACUUACGCUACGAAAUGAGUGCGGGCAUAUUACAAAUUCACAAAUGAAACUAAAAUAAACUCUCGAAACGACAAGUGAAUGCGCGCGCGAUUCCUCUCUCAAAUUUUCUUACUUUCCGCCGAUGAGUGGUUAGUUUUUGUUUUAUUUUUUUUCGUUUUGGUUAGUACGCAGUGUUGUGCUACAAAUACAAACUCGGUGAAUUCUGCUAAAACAACGAAAAAUAUAUAUUUUAAUUUGGUGAAUUUUUAGGUUGUUCGGCGGUGGAAAAAAGUGAAAGAAUUGUGUGUGAAAAAGUGGAAAUUGGCACAUUUAUUAGUUGACAACAAAGAAAUGCUUGAGAAAGUUCGCUGCCCACUUAAUAUUGGUGAAAAUUUUCGCUCUAAAGUAAACAACUCACCAACCAGAUUUUUAAGAAUAAAUUUCUGCUUGUUUUUUCAAUGUAUACAUCAUUGUAAAAUGCUGCAAACAAUAAUAACAAUUAGCAACAAAUCAAAGAAAAAGUUGUAACAAUAAGCAAUUUAAUCGUUUGUGCAAACCCGUGAAUGAGCUAGUGAAACCAACCAAAAAUAAACUUUUGUUUUGUAAGAAUUCUUUGCGCUGUUUUCAAUGGUAGCUUUGGUGACAAGCAAACAGUAAAAAUCGCAAAAAAAAAAAAAUAAAAAUGUUUGGCAAAAAACGCAAGCAACACAAGUUGGCAUAAGUGCCUUCAGCACAGCAAGACAAGUGAAAUCAGCGUCAAGCAAAGACGAAAAAUUAAAUUAGCACAAAACAACAUUUACUUUAAAUUUGAUGGAGCAAAGUUUAAUUUCAAAGACGCGUCUAAGAUAAGAAAUCAACGCCUUGCAAUUAUCAUAAGAUUUGGGUCGAAAUGCAGAAAAGAAGAAUAAGAAGAGGAAGAUAAUUGAACAAAAGUCAAAGAUGAA